rnacentral:rRNA from 1 species
UACGAAGGGGGCUAGCGUUGUUCGGAUUUACUGGGCGUAAAGCGCACGUAGGCGGAUCGAUCAGUCAGGGGUGAAAUCCCAGAGCUCAACUCUGGAACUGCCUUUGAUACUGUCGAUCUGGAGUAUGGAAGAGGUGAGUGGAAUUCCGAGUGUAGAGGUGAAAUUCGUAGAUAUUCGCAGGAACACCAGUGGCGAAGGCGGCUCACUGGUCCGGAACUGACGCUGAGGUGCGAAAGCGUGGGGAGCAAACAGG